GCUCCCGGGCGGCUCUGGAGGAGCUCGGUGUUUGCCUCUAGCCCUUCGCUACCGGAGGAUCAGGUUCCUCCCCUCCUCCCCCUCCAGCUCCGGCCGCCGCCGCCGCCGCCGCCGCCUCCUUCUUGCAUGACACAGCAGAACCGCAGCUGCUGCAGCAAUUUCAAGCCAUCCGCCCAGGAAGCGCCGCAACCGGGACUCGGGAGGGGUGGAGGGGGCGAGGCAGAGGCCGCGGCCCCAGGGGAUCCUUGGCCCCACUGUGCACCACACACUCCUUUCCCAGCCCAGGGGCACGCGAACAAAAUGAGGCUCAAGCUGACCAGGCCGAGCCGGAGGAACGCUGGGGCUUGGCAGCAGAAGGGAUGGGACCAGAGAGAAGGGUGUGGAGGAGACCCCAGUGAGGGCCAGGACAUUUCAGGUAAAGAGAGGUCAUAUCUCCGUACCUCACUUCCUGACACAAACAAGUUUUCACUGUUGUCAGCAACAAAGCCCUAAUAUAGCUGCGGAAGAGAAAAACUGCAUUGCAUUUUGCCUCCUGCAAGCAUCAUCAACAGUUACUGGAGGAACGUAAUUCCAGAAAGCUUGAAAGCCGUGGUGAUGGUAAUUAUGUAUCAAAUGCCUGGUUCUAUUUCUGUUAUUAUUGUUUUGUCAUUUCUGUUUUCCCAGCGAUCUGACUGAACUCGCAGAGGGACAAAUCCAGUUUUUCUUUUUGACUUUUGUCAAACUAAAUCAGGCCUGAUAGAAAACUCAUUGCUCUCCGGGGAAACAAAGUAGGAGCCACGAAAUGUCAUUUUAACAGAGCGUGGGUUUGGUGACUGUAGGAAAGGAUUUGAGGACGCUCCUUCUGUUCGGCUUCCUAUGUCAUGAGCACAGGCUCCACGCACGCACAGACACCACGGCUCCCGGAUGCUGUGGCUCCCCGAUCGGGGCUCCUGCAGCGCCAGAAGCCCCUCCGGGAUGCUUCGAGGGGCUCCCGGUGGGUGGAGGUACGGACGCCGCUGCGGCCGCCGCCGCCAGUCCUGCUGCUGUUGUUGCUGCUGCAGUCACGUGGGAGCCCCUUUAAGUUUCCAUAGAGAGGCCUCUCUGGUGUCACAUGAUGGACAUGAUAUAAUGAAACAACAUUGUGGAGAGGAAAGCAUUAGGGGAGCCCACGGCUACAAAAACAAGUGAGUGAGAAGAGGUGGGAGGAAGAGAAACUACGCCACCUCCCCUGCAGCCGAGUGCACGCAGCAGCCUGGCGUGACAAGUGGGCGACGCCGGGGGGCAGGGAGCCGGGGUCCUUGGCCCUGGCCGGGGACCCCACCGCCCACCGCGCGGAGGACAACUUUUAGCCGGCAGCCCAGACCAGCGCGGCACCUGUCUCCGGAGUCUCCACCGCUCCUCCCGAUUCAUCCCAGGGAAAUUCUCAAGAAUACGCUCUACAAAUCUACGUGCGCAUCAUUUUCACCUCGCGUCGCGCCCGGGAGGAAGGAACGAGGCAAGGAGCUAAAGCAGCGUGCGUUCAGCCCUGGGGCAUUUUAUUAAUGCUUUUACGAGUUAGAAGAGUUGGGAUAAUUUGCCAUCUGGAGUUUCUCUGCCUUGCUGAUCUGAGCUCAGACCUGCCAAUUUACCAGAGAUAAUUGAUAACACCCUGUAACAGCUGAGAGGAAAAUGGAAGAAACGGAGAUACUUUUAGUGAAGCAGAAUAAACCACUGAACAGGAAAAAUGAGGAAGCUGUGAGUACCAGUGGAAGGAACGAGCCAGGAAGAGGGACUGGAACCAUCUCAGAAGCCAUGCCCCUCAGGCUGGAACUUGCCCUGUCUCCUCGCAGAUGAGGACAAGUCCUGCGCUUGGGGAUCCUCUGUACGCCCGUUCACUGGUGCAGGUCUUCUGAACAAAUGCCUCCUGAGGAUUUCUGUGCCUGGAAAAUAUCUGUUAACAGACUGCUUUUACACCUACGCUUGCACCCUCACGACAUGCUCUCUCUCUCUCCCUCUCCUCUUUUCUCUCUUCUCUCCCUUCUCUCCUCUCUCUUAUCUCUCUCUUCUCUCUCUCGUACACAUACUCUGGAAAGCCAGCUACCAUACUGGGAACUGCCCAAUGGAGAGGCCCACAUUCCACAAGGAACUGAUGUCUUCAGCCAAUACCUCGCCAGGACCUGAGGCCUGCUGAGAGUCACGAGUGGCCUUCGUGGGUCCUCUCUCAACGAGCUUGCAGGGGCCAAAGAACAAAGUGUAGUCAACUGUUUUGAAGCCACCCUGUUUUGAAGAGGCGUUUUCCACUCAGGUGGCCUUGCACCGAAUGGCCAACCCUGCCCACUGUACGGAAACAAUAGAUGCUGCCUUAGAAGGGAGCAAGCUGGCACUGCCCUGAUGCUGGUGGGAUGGAGCUGCAGUUUGUGUCUCUGAAGCAGAUUAAACACUGUCUGCCCCAGCCUGUCUUAACUAUCUUCUCACUGGUUAACAGUCCUUGGAAGAAUAAACAAUCCACACAAGCUCUCAGAAAGCAGAAGUUCCAUGAUUCGUGACCAGAGUCUCAUAGCACAGAAUUCAUCUCUAAAAACAGAGACAGAGUCUUGCUCUGGCACCCAGAUUGGAGUACAGCGGUGCAACCACGACUCACUGCAGCCUUGACCUCCCAGCCUCAGAUGAUCCUCCCACCUCAGUCUCCCAAGUAGUCAGGACUACAGGUGUGCACCACCACACCUGGAUAAUUAUUUUUUAAAACUUUUGUAGAGAUGGAGUCUUACUAUGUUGCCCAGGCUGGUCUCAACUCCUGGGCUCAAGCAAUCACCCUGCCUUGGCCUCCCAAAGUGCUGGGAUUACAGGCAUAAGC
ensembl:lncRNA LINC-PINT long intergenic non-protein coding RNA, p53 induced transcript